UACGUAGGCAGCAAGCGUUGUUCGGAAUUAUUGGGCGUAAAGGGUGCGUAGGCGGUUUUGUAAGUCUUAUGUGAAAUCUAUGGGCUCAACUCAUAGACUGCAUGAGAAACUGCAGGGCUUGAGUAUGGGAGAGGUGAGUGGAAUUCCUGGUGUAGCGGUGAAAUGCGUAGAUAUCAGGAGGAACACCUGUGGCGAAAGCGGCUCACUGGACCAUAACUGACGCUGAUGCACGAAAGCUAGGGGAGCAAACAGG
rnacentral:rRNA from 1 species